UUUCUUUGCUUGUCGUGCACUGCAGAUAGGAAAAAUAGGUUACCAGAAAUGUAAAGCUGCAUGUUGUAAUUAGGACCAGAGUAAGUGUAGGUGGCAUGCUACAUGUAUGAUAAUUGUAAAACUGUGCAGUUUGUUAACUGUAUGUGGGAAAAAUAUUUGGUAGCUUAAAGUAUUUAAAAGUCUAACAUCCUUUUUUCCUUUAGCAAGGAUUAUAUUUCAGUACGCUCUAGUUUUGGAAAUGGAUAGGUUUAAGGUGGUAGCAGUAGAUGUCUGUAUAAUCCUUUUGUCUUUAUUUAACCAUUUUGAUAGCAUCUGGAAAGUAUUCUUGAGUUCUGUGGUUUAGUUCUGACUUGCAUCCAGCCUAGUGUAAAGCUUUCUGCCUCCAAGCUCAGCAAAAGAUGGAACAUGAAGCACACCCAUGUUACUGAGGCAGACUGCUUUCAGAGUGUAGCAGCUGUAGUGUGUCCAAAUGCCUUCAUCUGAGGAGCUCCAGAACCAACAGGUCAGGUCCUAUUGUGAAAAAGAAACCAGCCACCCACUUUCUUUGGAAAACAGGAUACUGACUCCUCACCAUGAAAUCAGGGCUCAAAGGAGAAUGUGAAAUUUAACAGCUGCUGCUUAGUUUCUCUUGAGAAGGAUCACAUGCUUCCAUGAGGCUUGCAUUCAUUGUCCUUAGCAAGAAACCUGGCUGCUUGGAGGAGGAAGGAAGGGGGGUGGACACUUGAUGCUUCCCCCCCCAAAACCUCAUUGUCUCCACUUUCCUGGAUAUUAUUCUCUGGAGCUAGCUGAUGGCUUUUUACAUGGUUGUUGAUACUCAUCUUUAGCUACAUAGAGAUUGAAUAGAUGUGUAGAUGUGUUUUCAUGCGCAACUUUGUUAUUGAGGCUAAGUGACAAAAGCAAAUGUGGAUGUUAUGGAGGGGAAAACACUACACAGGGCAAAACUUGGAAACAAACCAUGAAGAUUACUUUUUCCAUGCUGGCAUUAGAAGCCUAGAAUAAGGAAGGAGUUGGGUGUGCGUUAUCUUCUGGGACAAAACCAACCAGAGGUGUCAAACUCCAGGGCCAGUACAGUUGACCUGCUUCUUCUCAGGAGUAAAAAAUAUUUGUGGAGCACAACAGAGCUGUGGUGCCACCUCCUUAUUCAGUCCCUUGGACUGUUAGCCUGGUACUACCAGAUGGCAGAGACAAAGGAGCUAUUAAUAUGUAAAAUGAGACACUGCUGUGUAAUGUUAAUGAGUGGAGAAGGAGCAUAUUAACUCUAAUUUAUAAAACUUGUCAAUGUACUACUUUUAUUUCUCGUUA